GUUCCUCAAAGUUAAAACGCAGUAAGUCUAUAUGCAUUCCAUACAUACUUACUACAAUUUUCUUUUCAUUGAUAGACGAAGAUAUGAGUUUUUUUUUAAAGUAGUGACGAAUUAUUUAUGUCUCCUGAUUUUUAGGACACGUGUCUUCUGAUUUUAUUCAAAUUGGACCUGGCAACACUGAAAUAAUGUCAGAAUCUUUUCUUUGACAUUAUUUACAAUUUAUAUUAUUGUACAUAAUUGGUUUUUUCACUAUUCUUAAGCUAAAAAAAACACCUGUUUGUCCUCCAAAGAAUACCUUAUUGGAUUCACAGAAUGAUUGAGGAUUUGAGGGAAGCAUGUUAAGACUGUGACAAUAUGGUCUUAAGGCAGCCGGCCUCAUUGAGAACAAGAAAAUAUUCUGCUUCAUGUAGCGGUUGUUAUUUGUUAAUAUGACAUGUCUCGGCAGUGUAGUGACCCUGUGCUUAAUUAAGGCUUCAGGCUCAAAUCAUGGUAAACCAAAAUGUAAGCGGCCGGUUGAAAAAGUAGCAGAGUCGAAAAUGGAAAUUAAUGAGCUGCAGAAGUAAAUUUUAGAAGAAUAAUUCUCUUCUUUGUUGUAUCCUUGUGGCUGAGGGACAUGACGAAUGAGGCCAUUCUUUACCAGUGCUCUUCACGCCACUCAAUCCUGGGCCCGGUGCAUGCUAGCCUGCAGUGGUCUUUGUCAGAGAUGUUAUUGUGUCUGCCCAAUGUGUGCCCAUGCUGCCACUUCUUCACUUCCUUGCCGUGUCCUGUGAUUAUGGGAAUAAUAUGCAAAUAAAAACCAACAAUGGGCCAUCGAAGAACAGGAGAGGGCAUGUGGGCCUUAGAGAAAGAGUUGUUAAUGUGAAGACUAAAUAAAUUCAACAAAUAAAAUCUCAACUAUAAUACUGUCUUUGGUACACCCGCUACCAUCGCGUCAAAUAGUGAAAGUGCAGUUCAGUGUAAGCAAAGACAGUGUACAAGAUAUACCACUCACCUAUGGCAUUAGUGUUACUAGACCACAUUAAUACAUAAAGACUAUUUUUCUAAACUUGUCCAAAAAUUUUAUUAAAAAGGUGUCGGAACGCCUUACAGGUGUCUCGAGGGACCAAAUAGCGGGUUCCUUCUUUGCUCAGAGGUUGAGUCUGGCGAUGCAAAGGGGAAACGCCGCAAGCAUUCUUGGGUCUAUGCCGGAGGCAGGGGAUCUGAGGGGGUUUUUUAUAUUUAGUUAUAACCUGCUUGUGUUAGUUUUAGUCUUUAGGGUUUUAAGAUUUAAUUAUAAGAUUAAAUAUAUUGUUCGUAGUUGUUGUUGAAUAAGCAGUGUUUGUGUGUCUGACUAACGAAAAUAUAAAUUCAGAUUCUAAACGUCUAAACUUGUGUAUAGCUCUGUGUUGUCUUAAUAAAUCCUAUUGGAAACGC
rnacentral:lncRNA from 1 species